AGACCGUGAGGUGGAGCAAAACUCAAAAACUUAGUCUCAGUUCGGAUUGUAGGCUGAAACUCGCCUACAUGAAGCUGGAGUUGCUAGUAAUCGCGCAUCAGCCACGGCGCGGUGAAUACGUUCCCGGGCCUUGUACACACCGCCCGUCAAGCCAUGGGAGCCGGGGGUACCUGAAGUACGUAACCGCAAGGAGCGUCCUAGGGUAAAACUGGUGACUGGGGCUAAGUCGUAACAAGGUAUC
rnacentral:rRNA from 1 species